AGAGUUUGAUCCUGGCUCAGAAUCAACGCUGGCGGCGCGCCUAACACAUGCAAGUCGAACGAGAAAGUGGAGCAAUCCAUGAGUACAGUGGCGUACGGGUGAGUAACACGUGGGUAAUCUACCUUUUAGUGGGGAAUAACCAGGGGAAACUCUGGCUAAUACCGCAUAAGCCUGAGAAGGGAAAGCAGCAAUGCGCUGAAAGAGGAGCCCGCGGCCGAUUAGCUAGUUGGUGGGGUAAGAGCCCACCAAGGCAGAGAUCGGUAGCCGGCCUGAGAGGGCACACGGCCACACUGGCACUGAAACACGGGCCAGACUCCUACGGGAGGCAGCAGUGGGGAAUCUUGCACAAUGGGGGAAACCCUGAUGCAGCGACGCCGCGUGAGCGAUGAAGCCCUUCGGGGUGUAAAGCUCUUUUGUCAGGGACGAUAAUGACGGUACCUGGAGAAGCAGCUGCGGCUAACUACGUGCCAGCAGCCGCGGUAAUACGUAGGCAGCAAGCGUUGUUCGGAGUUACUGGGCGUAAAGGGUGUGUAGGCGGUUCUUUAAGUUUGGUGUGAAAUCUCCCGGCUCAACUGGGAGGGUGCGCCGAAUACUGAGGGACUAGAGUACGGGAGAGGAAAGUGGAAUUCCUGGUGUAGCGGUGAAAUGCGUAGAUAUCAGGAGGAACACCGGUGGUGUAGACGGCUUUCUGGACCGUAACUGACGCUGAGACACGAAAGCGUGGGUAGCAAACAGGAUUAGAUACCCUAGUAGUCC
rnacentral:rRNA from 1 species